rnacentral:rRNA from 1 species
CCUACGGUGGGCUGCAGUAAGGAAUAUUGGUCAAUGGACGCAAGUCUGAACCAGCCAUGCCGCGUGGAGGAUGAAGGUCCUCUGGAUUGUAAACUUCUUUUAUUUGGGAAGAAACUCCCGAUUUCCAUCGGGAUUGACGGUACCAGAUGAAUAAGCACCGGCUAACUCCGUGCCAGCAGCCGCGGUAAUACGGAGGGUGCAAGCGUUAUCCGGAUUCAAUGGGCUUAAAGGGUCAGGAGAGGCAGAGGUAAAAUCUCCGGGCUUAACCCGGAAACUGCCAUUGAUACUAUUUGUCUUGAAUACUCUGGAGGUGAGCGGAAUAUGUCAUGUAGCGGUGAAAUGCUUAGAUAUGACAUAGAACACCCAUUGCGAAGGCAGCUCACUACGGAAAUAUUGACGCUGAGGCACGAAAGCGUGGGGAUCAAACAGGAUUAGAUACCCCGGUAGUC